rnacentral:rRNA from 1 species
GAUGAACGCUGGCGGCGUGCUUAACACAUGCAAGUCGAACGGAAAGGCCCAAGCUUGCUUGGGUGCUCGAGUGGCGAACGGGUGAGUAACACGUGGGUGAUCUGCCCUGCACUUUGGGAUAAGCCUGGGAAACUGGGUCUAAUACCGGAUAGGACCUUCGUUUAGUGUCUGUGGUGGAAAUUUUUUCGGUGUGGGAUGAGCUCGCGGCCUAUCAGCUUGUUGGUGGGGUAAUGGCCUACCAAGGCGUCGGCGGGUACCCGGCCUGAGAGGGUGUACGGGCACAUUGAGACUGGGACACGGACCAGGCCCCUACGGCUGGCGGCAGUGGGGAAGGGUGCUCUAUGGGCGCGAGCGAGAUGCAGCGACACCGCGUGCGGGUUGAUGGCCUUCGGCUUGGGGUCUCAUUUCGCCAUGGACGGAGCGUUUUGUGACAGUACUUGGAGAAUAAGCACCGGCUAACUCCGUG